UUAAAAAGCUCGUAGUUGAAUUUCGGGGUUAGUAAGUUGGUGAUGCCUUUGGUAUGCGCUGGCUUUACUGAUUCCUCCUUCUUGACGAACCGUGAUGUCAUUAAUUUGGUGUUGCGGGAAAUCAGGACUGUUACUUUGAAAAAAUUAGAGUGUUUAAAGCAGGCUAACGCUUGAAUACAUUAGCAUGGAAUAAUGAAAUAGGACGUUAAUCCUAUUUUGUUGGUUUCUAGGAUCGACGUAAUGAUUAAUAGGGAUAGUUGGGGG
rnacentral:rRNA from 1 species